CAUUCACCUGUUUUGUUCAGUUAUUGGGAGGAAGGACCUCAACUGCUCAUAGUAAGUGUACAUGAUGAAUAGAAGAUGCGGUUUUCCAAAUUGCAAUUUUCAACUUGGAAAUAUUCCUCCAAUUUCAAUAUUUGACACAUUUGGUAAGACUCUUAUCUAUACUGUGAUGCACAGUGGCAUGAUUGUACAAGACCUUUCAAAUUAAAAAAAAAAUGAGCAUUACACUUAGCUGAUAUCUCCUCAGUUGAAAUAAUCACAAAGAAACACUCUUCCAAAAGGAUUUUAGGCUUUUUCCAAAUUGGUAGUGUAGAAUUUGUGAUCAAGACCCUCCAGUAUUUUUCUAUUGCCUACAUUUAAAGUAAUAACUUUCCUACUUAUUUUUUCCUUCGAGCUAGCUGGGAAUUAAAUGUCUUAAAAUUAUAAAUACCGUGUCAGCAAGCAUUGUGCUUCUAGCUGCAGUCUACACUAAUUUCAACUUCCAAAGAGUGGCAGAUGCAUUACAAUCAUUCAAUGCAUCUGAUACUUACCAUAUUUAUUAUUUUAGUCUCUGUGUAUUUUAUAAAACUUCUUUUAACAGGCCUAAUCUUGGUGCAAACAUUUUUU
rnacentral:lncRNA from 1 species